rnacentral:lncRNA from 1 species
AUCUAUAUUGCAACGUACAAUUGAACUGUUAUACCUUGUUAAUAUAUGUAUUCCAAAAUUACUUUUAUUGCGAAUUCUUUUGAUUCAAUUCGAGAUACAUGUACCGUUUAUGUACUCAUUUAAUAGACGUCGUAUUUUAACUAUAUCAUGUCAACAUUUUUGUAACCAACAAAUUCAUUAAUUAUUCUUUUUCUUUAAUAGUGUAGUACAUGAUUUGGAAUGGAUAUGUUAGCGAAACAUUCAAAGCAACAAAAAGUACAUACUAGCACCGAAACUAUUAUACUUUUUAGCACCGGAUUUGUAUUUCAAAUAGCACAACUUUAAAAAACCUAUGGAGAUUAUCUUUUAAAGAUUUUAAACAAUGUGUGCUUCAAGAGGAGAAAAUACAAAAAUAAAUGCAACAAACAGACAGUGAAAAUAGUAAAUAUAUAAACUUAUCAAAAGAAUUUUUAACAAAAUAUGAUAUAUGUAUGCAAUAUUUUUUUUAAUACGGUUCGGCUCGACCAAAGGCUCAGAAAUCCAUCAUUGGCUUUAUGAAACAUAGUUUUCAGGCUUGAUUUGUGGUCUAUCUUAAUGAAUAUUAUAUUUGAAUAUUUUGAUGUUUUAGUAUCAAAAUUUUUCAUUCUACUAUUUUGUAUAAUAUAAUAUAUCACAUUGCUUUUUUUUUUGCAUUAAAACAAGUGUAUCUUUUAUUCUUUGGACUUUUUUUAGCUUGUAAAUUAAUCGGUCAGAUUUAUAACGAAUACCUCUGGAAACAUUAGUUGAAUCCGAUAAUGUGAGUUUUUGGUAGGACCGUAUAGACUUUAAUCUAAUCGUUUGUUUUCCUGGGGAUUUUUUUAUUUUAUAAAAGUAAGCUAGUUUGCUGCUGAUUUUGUAUCAACGUAUUUUUUCAUUCAGUGCAUCCAAUCAAAUAUUAAUUAUCUCUCACAUCUAAGGAAAUUGCAUGUUUAUAUACAUUUAAUAAAGCCGUAAAAGCUUUGGAUGGGCGCAUUGCAUUUGCGUCAAUUUUUACAAGGUCCAAGCUUUCUUUUGUUCAGAUUUUAUUUCAUUUACGCCAAAAAAAAAAAAUAAAAAAAAAUAAGACUAUAUUUUCGCUAUUUUAAAUGUAGCAUAUCAAGAAAAAGUUUUAGGAUUCAUUGCUAUAUCAUCAUAGUUAUAUUAUGUUCUGAAAAAUGCUGACAUAUCGUUUAGAAGUACAAAAAAAAAUUGAAAAGCCAGAAUCAUAACAGAACAAUUAUAAAAGCAUUGAACAAAUAAAACCAUGGUGUAGAAGGUAGAAUACCAGCAACUAAGAAUCAUAUCUCGAAAAGAAUCAGGUGACCAUCGAAGUUACUCCCAACGUAACUACAUUCAAGAUAAAUUCUCUUUUUGUUGCCAAAUGCGAAUCAAUAUUGCUUGUACAAUAUGCGUCAAAAUUCAUUUUCAAAAUUAAUCAUAGAUAAAUACAUAUAUAAGCUAUCUUCAAAUAGGCAAAUACAUGUUUUGCAAAUGUAGAAGAACUGUUUGGUACAAACU